rnacentral:rRNA from 1 species
AGUCGAGGGGUAGAAAGCAAUAUUUGAGACCGGCGCACGGGUGCGUAACGCGUAUGCAAUCUACCUUUUACAGAGGGAUAGCCCAGAGAAAUUUGGAUUAAUACCUCAUAGUAUAGUGAGUUGGCAUCAACACACUAUUAAAGUCACAACGGUAAAAGAUGAGCAUGCGUCCCAUUAGCUAGUUGGUAAGGUAACGGCUUACCAAGGCAACGAUGGGUAGGGGUCCUGAGAGGGAGAUCCCCCACACUGGUACUGAGACACGGACCAGACUCCUACGGGAGGCAGCAGUGAGGAAUAUUGGUCAAUGGGCGCAAGCCUGAACCAGCCAUGCCGCGUGCAGGAUGACGGUCCUAUGGAUUGUAAACUGCUUUUGCACAGGAAGAAACACUCGGUCGUGACCGAGCUUGACGGUACUGUGAGAAUAAGGAUCGGCUAACUCCGUGCCAGCAGCCGCGGUAAUACGGAGGAUCCAAGCGUUAUCCGGAAUCAUUGGGUUUAAAGGGUCCGUAGGCGGCCAGAUAAGUCAGUGGUGAAAGCCCAUCGCUCAACGAUGGAACGGCCAUUGAUACUGUUUGGCUUGAAUUAUUUGGAAGUAACUAGAAUAUGUAGUGUAGCGGUGAAAUGCUUAGAGAUUACAUGGAAUACCAAUUGCGAAAGGCAGGUUACUACAAAUUGAUUGACGCUGAUGG